AUACGGAGGAUCCGAGCGUUAUCCGGAUUUAUUGGGUUUAAAGGGUGCGCAGGCGGCCAUUUAAGUCAGCGGUUAAAUCGUGGGGCUCAACCCCAUUCUGCCGUUGAUACUGGGUGGCUUGAUUGCGGUCGAGGUUGGCGGAAUUCGUUGUGUAGCGGUGAAAUGCAUAGAUAUGACGAAGAACACCGAUUGCGUAGGCAGCUGACCAGACCGGAAAUGACGCUCAUGCUCGAAAGUGCGGGGAUCGAACAGGAUUAGAUACCCUGGUAGUCCGCACAGUAAACGAUGAAUACUUGUUUUCGGCGAUAUAAUGUCGGAGGCAAAGCGAAAGCGAUAAGUAUUCCACCUGGGGAGUACGCCGGCAACGGUGAAACUCAAAGGAAUUGACGGGG
rnacentral:rRNA from 1 species